rnacentral:antisense_RNA from 1 species
UGUGGGAGCUGGCUUGCCUGCGAUGCAGGCAACCCGGUCUUUCAGCCAUACCGAGGUGAUGCGAUCGCAGGCAAGCCAGCUCCCACA